GACGAACGCUGUCGGCGUGCUUAACACAUGCAAGUCGAGCGGAGCGGCGAACGGGUGAGUACCGCGUGAGUAACUGCCCCCCUCUCUGGGAUAACAGUUGUAAACGGCUGCUCAUACCGGAUAUUGGGGGAUGACUCGGGUCCUAUCAGCUUGUUGGUUGGGUAGUGGCCUACCACGGCGACGACGGGUAGCCGGCCUGAGAGGGAGACCGGCCACAUUGGGCUGAGAUACGGCACAAACUCCUACGGGAGGCAGCAGUGGUGAAUAUUGCACAAGGGGGGAAACGCGGAUGCAGCAACGCCGCGUGCGGGAUGACGGCCGUCGGGGUGUAAACCGCUUUCAGCCAUGACGCGGUAGUGGCAGAAGAAGCACCGGCUAACUACGUGCCAGCAGCCGCGGUAAUUC
rnacentral:rRNA from 1 species